GGUGAUGCUAUGAUUGGACCAAUUGACCAAGAGCAAUUAAUGUGUUUCGCAUCUUUGAUAGGAACCUGUGGAUCUUAUACAACAUUGGUCCACGGAACUGUUUUCCGCGAUUAUAUUC